rnacentral:rRNA from 1 species
CCUAUGGGGGGCAGCAGGCGCGAAACCUCUGCAAUAGGCGAAAGCUUGACAGGGUUACUCUGAGUGAUGUCCGUUAAGGGCAUCUUUUGACACUUCUAAAAAUAGUGUAGAAUAAGGGGUGGGCAAGUCUGGUGUCAGCCGCCGCGGUAAUACCAGCACCCCGAGUGGUCGGGACGAUUAUUGGGCCUAAAGCAUCCGUAGCCGGUUCUGCAAGUCUUCCGUUAAAUCCACCUGCUCAACAGAUGGGCCGCGGGGGAUACUACAGGGCUAGGAGGCGGGAGAGGCAAGCGGUACUCGGUGGGUAGGGGUAAAAUCCUCUGAUCCACUGAAGACCACCAGUGGCGAAGGCGGCUUGCCAGAACGCGCUCGACGGUGAGGGAUGAAAGCUGGGGGAGCAAACCGGAUUAGAUACCCAAGUAGUCC